GGUCACCUUAGUGGCGGACGGGUGAGUAACGCGUGGGGACCUUCCCAGGAGCGGGGAACAACCGAGGGAAACUUCGGCUAAUACCGCAUACGCCCUCCGGGGGAAAGGCUUCGGCCACUCUUGGAUGGCCCCGCGUCUGAUUAGCUAGUUGGCGGGGUAACGGCCCACCAAGGCAACGAUCAGUAGCUGGUCUGAGAGGAUGAUCAGCCACACUGGGACUGAGACACGGCCCAGACUCCUACGGGAGGCAGCAGUGGGGAAUAUUGGACAAUGGGCGAAAGCCUGAUCCAGCGAUGCCGCGUGAGUGAAGAAGGCCCUAGGGUUGUAAAACUCUUUCACUGGUGACGAUGAUGACGGUAGCCAGAGAAGAAGCCCCGGCUAACUCCGUGCCAGCAGCCGCGGUAAUACGGAGGGGGCUAGCGUUGUUCGGAAUUACUGGGCGUAAAGCGCAUGUAGGCGGCGCGUCUAGUCGGGGGUGAAAGGCCUGGGCUCAACCCAGGAACUGCCUUC
rnacentral:rRNA from 1 species